GAGCAGGAGCCCCCUGCGCAUCAGGGAAGGGAACGUAGAGCCUGCGCGCUCAGAGAAAGGGGCUUACCGAUGCCUGCUAGGGUGGCGCGCACUGGGGCUCUAGAAAAGAGGGUUGAGAACCCCCAGGUGAGUGCCUAGGAAGGUCAAAGGAGUCAGCAAAGUCUGCGGAAGAACUUCCCCGAGUUGGAGAGGAAACUCAUCCUGGAAGCUGGAAGGGAGAGGAGAACUAGGCUGGGAGAAGUUUGAUCAGGGCUCUGAGCACCAAGCCGAGUGCAGAGGAGCUGCUGAUAAUUGCGGGGAGAGCUCUGAGACCCCGAGAAAGAUGGGGAAACUGAAGCCCUAGAAGAAAAGAAGACUCAAUGUAUUACCAUCUGACCCACUUCCUGGCUAGCCCUGUUCAUCUAUCUGCUGUUCUUCAUUGUGGCAGUUGUAUGUGUGAGUUUGCAGCUCAAUCCUGGCCAAGGGGAUCCAAGGGCAGCUGAAGAGGCAUGUCUGCACAUGUCACCUAGAAUGUCUCCAGCCAUUACAUGACCCCUGGGGGAGGCAUUCUCAACUCUCUGAGAGUCGCAGAUCAGAAAGAUGGAAAGAAAGCACCUGGCUUCAGGAUGAUGGCAUCGAGCCACUGAAUUAACCAUCUUUGGACCACCCUAACCUUCAGAAAUCACCUUAACAAGAGAAAAUAAAAUGCUUAUUGCUUA